rnacentral:lncRNA from 1 species
CUCUCUUACUCUUACCUACCUGCAAUGAGUGUGGACUGACUACCUGCCAAGUGGGGUGGCCUGAGUUCUGUACCCUGAUCUAUGGUGUCUGUUAUAAAGCCAUUUUCUCCUCUUUCAUUGACAUUUUUUUCUCUCUCUGCUAACAGCUGGAUGGUUCUGACUGCCUAGUCAUUGUUUUGUUUUGCCCCUUGUCACUGAUGGUGAGUCACUCUCUGCCUGGAGCUUGGCUGGGCAUUUUCUGUGGUGCCAUAAGAUUCCUAAGAGCUGGAUUGGGUCUGGUUCGUCCUUUUCUCUGUGAUGGCAUAGCUCUGAGGUCUAGACAGAAGAACUGAGAGAAGGAGAGAAGGGGCCUCACUGCUCUGGGGUCUGAGUUCACUAUUCAGAAGUGAGGAAAUUCAGCUCAGAGGCUGGAAAUCUUAUCUUCUAUGAACCGGUUAGAGGAGCAAUAGGGUCCACUGAGGCCAAACUGGUUAAGACAAUAGCAUCUCCAGCCUGAGUGGAGACCUAGCAUUCCAGUUGGGCCAGUUGGCCUAUUACCUGGCCAAUAGACCAUCCCUGAGCAGUCAGACUAACUUUCAGUCCUGCUAAAGAGGUGGGUAGAAUACUUAGUCCUUUAAUGAGAUAAUGCAUUUUCCCAUAAGUAGAAUCUAAAUAUAAUCUAUGAGCACAAGCUCUGUUCACAUUGUACUGUAUGCUGAUCCGUGUGUAAAAGGUCAAAGCUUGGCAGCAGCAACGGAGAAAAAUGCUAACACACACACACACACACACACACACACACACACACACACACACACACACACAGGAGCACGUUCAACAAAAUGAUCUAAAAUGCAUAUUAGGUCUCUACAAAAGGUUCCCACCGGCCUCUCGAGAAAUAGUACAAGGCAGGUCCCUUUACAGAGAAUUCAGAGCAAGCCAUUGCCUACUGCCAAGCGGACCCUGCCGCCAUGAACUCAACAUGGAACAUAGGACUAGAUACAUCUCAAACACUGCUUCUAUAAAGUUACUGUCCUCUUUUCCUCUUUGCCUCCGUGGAGAAUGGACGUCUGAAGUAAGCCUGAUGGACCAGCCAGAAUCUGUCACUAAGGCAGACUAA